GGGGGUAUAGCUCAGUGGUAGGGUACAUGCCCAGAUGCAUGAGGUCCUGGGUUCAAUCCCCAGUACCUCCA
rnacentral:tRNA from 1 species